CAAUAGCGUAUAUUAAAGUUGUUGCAGUUAAAAAGCUCGUAGUUGGAUUUCUGGUGGGAGCGAUCGGUCUGGCGCUUAGCGCGAGUACUUGCAUCGUCUCCGGCCAUCCUUGGGGAGAGUCUGUCUGGCAUUAAGUUGCCGGGCAGAGGAUCCUCAUCGUUUACUGUGAAAAAAUUAGAGUGUUCAAAGCAGGCUUAUGCCGUUGAAUAUAUUAGCAUGGAAUAAUAAGAUAGGACUUUGGUACUAUUUUGUUGGUUUGCGCACCAAAGUAAUGAUUAAUAGGGACAGUUGGGGGUAUUCGUAUUCCGUUGUCAGAGGUGAAAUUCUUGGAUUUACGGAAGACGAACUACUGCGAAAGCAUUUACCAAGGAUGUUUUCAUUAA
rnacentral:rRNA from 1 species